rnacentral:rRNA from 1 species
AGUGAACGCUGGCGGUAGGCCUAACACAUGCAGGUCGAACGGCAGCACAGUAAGAGCUUGCUCUUACGGGUGGCGAGUGGCGGACGGGUGAGGAAUACAUCGGAAUCUACUUUUUCGUGGGGGAUAACGUAGGGAAACUUACGCUAAUACCGCAUACGACCUACGGGUGAAAGCAGGGGAUCUUCGGACCUUGCGCGAUUGAAUGAGCCGAUGUCGGAUUAGCUAGUUGGCGGGGUAAAGGCCCACCAAGGCGACGAUCCGUAGCUGGUCUGAGAGGAUGAUCAGCCACACUGGAACUGAGACACGGUCCAGACUCCUACGGGAGGCAGCAGUGGGGAAUAUUGGACAAUGGGCGCAAGCCUGAUCCAGCCAUACCGCGUGGGUGAAGAAGGCCUUCGGGUUGUAAAGCCCUUUUGUUGGGAAAGAAAAGCAGCAGGUUAAUACCCCGCUGUUCUGACGGUACCCAAAGAAUAAGCACCGGCCAACUUCGUG